rnacentral:tmRNA from 1 species
GGGGAUGAUCGGUUUCGACGUUGGACACUGCGUCGGGAGAAGCGGGCCGAGAAUGCAGAGUCAUCUCGUUAAUGUCCUCUGCAAAACAAUAGGUGCUAAAUCUGAGAACCGCACCGAUUUCGCCCUCGCUGCCUGAUAGAGCGCGAGCUGCGAAUCCGUCAGCCUAGAGUUGCCUCUGCUCUAGAUCCUGGCGUCGCUUAAGGGGCCACUGCUUCAGAUG